AAGGUAGCAUAAUCCCUUGCCUCUUAAUUAGUGGCUAGAAUGAAUGGAUAAACGAAAAUCAAACUGUCUCUGCAAGAUACAUAAAAAUUAGCUUUUAAGUGAAGAGACUUAAAUUACAAUAAAAGACAAAAAGACCCUGUAGAGCCUUAACUAAUUAUAAACCCUAAUAAACAUAUAUUAAUUCUUUAUUUCUAGUUUUAGUUGGGGCGACUAAGGAGUAACUAAAGCCUCCUUUCUCUUUAAGGCCCAUCCGCCUCAAUAUUGAUCCAUUCCUAAUGAUUAACAAAAUAGGCUACCUCAGGGAUAACAGUCUAAUCUUCCUUAAGAGCCCUUAUUGCCAGGAAGGAUUGGCACCUCGAUGUUGGCUUAAGAACUCUUUUACGCGCAGUCGCCUAAAAAGUAGGUAUGUUCAACCUUUAAAAUCUUACGUGAUCUGAGUUCAGACC
rnacentral:rRNA from 1 species